rnacentral:rRNA from 1 species
UCCGUAGGUGGAUAAUUAAGUCAGAGGUGAAAUCCUGCAGCUCAACUGUAGAAUUGCCUUUGAUACUGGUUAUCUUGAGUCAUUAUGAAGUGGUUAGAAUGUGUAGUGUAGCGGUGAAAUGCAUAGAUAUUACACAGAAUACCGAUUGCGAAGGAAGAUCACUAAUAAUGUACUGACACUGAUGGACGAAAGCGUGGGGAGCGAACAGGAUUAGAUACCCUGGUAGUCA